GUACAUUUUUCCUAAAGUUAAUAGCAUACCCUUCAAUGUCUCUUCAUUAGUCAGCCUCUAAUAAAAUCCUAUUAAGCACAUGAUAGUUGAAUUUUUGAAUUGAACAGCGUAAUUUCUCUAUAGAGGGAGAGAUUUAGAGAAAUUGAUAAAAACACGAAAAUACACUGGCCCAAAUUCACUUAUUAUUAUUUUUUUUUUUAUAAAUACACGUACAAGAAUCUUAUUGAUCUCUCCGGUCGUUGAAUUGUACGCUCAUAUUCAAUUUUGACGCUGAAUUGUAAUUUUUAUUCAACACCCCGUGGCCUAUUUUCCUUCCGCCCUGAUGAUUGAUGGUUGAGUUGCACCUGUGUUAUCGGAAAUUUCGAGGAAUCGUGGUUUUUGAGGAAUAUUUGUUCAGAAGGGCUGAAAUUUUUUGGUUUUGCUUGUAAAUCAAUUUUGAUGAGUUUUUUGGGUGUUGUUGAAGAGUGAAUUACUUUUGGAGUUCAUGAGAAAAUGAGCACCCAAAGACAAUCGGUGCGCGUCCGUGACCUCGUGGAGGAAGCUAAGAAGCGGAGUGUUUUUUUCAUCGUAUGCCUUUUUGGACUGUCCUAUCUCAUGUCCUGUAAGUGAUUCAUUGUUUGUCCAAUAUUUUCUAUUUUAUUGCUACUUUUUAUGGAGAUUAUGACUCUUCUGUAGCCUUUUUUCUCUUGAAAAUUUUGAAGAUUGAGCAUUGCAUUUGAAUGAUACUAUGAACUGAGGAUAGUUAAGCGCCUGUUUCACUGGGCUUAGAGUUUGAAGCAUUGGGAGGUCAAAAUUUGUUGAGUUUAUGGAGCUUUAUAUUGCACCAAUGUGAAGUUUCGUCUCCAAUUAGGAAUUUAGCAAGUCAAUAUCAAAAUAAUUUGUUAGCUUUUGUGAUCCUUCAUUUAACAUUCCUUUCCUCUAUGAAGUAACCAUUAGAUUUUUGUAAGUCUGGAUCUAUAUUUAUUGUACAACCUCAUUUGCUAGUGGUAAAUGUAGCGUCACAUUUUUCUAUUCAGUAAAUUAUGGAUGUUCUGAGGAUUUUUAAUAUCCGAGUAUGUAAUUUUUUUCCUAGUUUUGUAACACGAAAAGAUAAAAAGCCUGAAGAAGCAAGAGCGAUGCUAUCCGGUACAAGAGGUUAGUAGAGGGAGUAGACCAAAAUUAGCAUGACCAUAUGUGAUUGUUAGAUUGCAUGGAUCUUCCAUUAAAUUUAGUGAUAGACUAAACAUAAUGGUGGAAAAAGAUUCGUAAAACUGACCCAUAUUUAAGGAACGGCUUUGAUGUUGGACGUCAUAUUACUACUAUUCUGAAUUCCUUGUGCCAAGAUGCUUUCACUUAAAAUAGUGUUUGAAAUCUAUAUUUUUUCAUGGUAUGGGUUUAUUUUUGUGCAUGUGGAGAAAUUGUAUCAACUUUUCAAAAUCCUUGCAGGUGAUUGUUGCAUAGUAUCCGUUAUAAUUAUUUACGUUCUCCUCUUGUUCAAAAUACCUAAUUACUUAUUUCAAAAUAAGCAUCAAGGCAAUCAUUAAACUAAGGUGUCAAGUGAUUGAAUUCAAAAGGGACAAUCGGUUGUAACAUCCUGAUACAAAUUAUAUACACUAAAUCCCUCAAUAUGGAAAUUGGAUUUGUUAUGUAAAUUGUAUGGAUGGGAAGAUUUGCUCUAUAUUUACUUCCUUUGCUUUGCUAACAUUGUGCACACACCAAUAUUUAGUUGAUUUCGAAUAUACAACAUUAUGUUACGCAGGUAGUAAUUAUAUAUAUAUAUAUAUAUAUAUAUAUAUAUACACACACACACCAUGGGUGUCUGAGCCAACUUACGUACACCUCGACUAAUUCCACAAAGCCCUGAAGUUUAUAGUCGGGUACUCACUUCAGUGGCCCUUAGAGGAUUCAAACUGGUGACCAUUGGGGAGCAAACCCAAUGCUUGACCACUGAUCUACCUCAUAGGAUUAGUAAUUAUAGAUAUAUUACCAAUUGGUUUUCCGUUAAUUCGCAUAAUUAGGAUUUUGGAUUAAUAUUCUUCUAUUUCCACAUUUAUCAUUUCUAGUUUCUUGUUUUGGGGCUAUUUUUCACUUUUUCUCAUCCAAAUAAAUGUAUAAAUGUUAACUUAUAAAUGUGUAUGGUAUUUUCCAUGAUUAUUCAUGCCAUAACUCAAUGAUGUCACUGCUAAAUGCCAACUUUUACUAAUGGCAACAUGGGAUAAGUGUGUUAUUACUGUUCUGCAUCCAACUUUCAUAGUUUACAUAUAGGACUUGCCUUAGAAACAGAAAUGUGCGCCCUUCACAUUUUAGACUCAAUGUGGGACCUUUUUGUAAUGCUAAUUGUCAUAUACAGUUUGAGUUGAGAUCUACUGUUCAAAAUUGGUUGUCCGACUUGCUAUCCCAAUGAUACAUUAUUUUACACAUAUAUUUUAGCACAAGUAGCAGUGAGAAAGAAAAGUUGGAGAUGUUAAUUUAAAGUGAUGUAUCAAUAAAUCAUUGGUUGGACAACAAGUUAAAAAGCCAAUUUUGGACAACAAAUCUCAACUCAUAUAGUUUACUCACAAAUAAUCCCCAUCAUCCCAUGACCCAUUUAUAUCUGUAUUUGACUUUUUUGUCUUUAUCUUCUGUUUCUGCCCCCUUAACACCCCCCCCCCCCCCCCCAACCAGGCAUCAACCUUUGAGUUUUUAUCUUACUCUUUUCUCUCUUCCCAGUGACAAGCUCUUCGGUUCUAAUCAAUUUGCCUGCUGCCGCAUUUUUAAUAAUAACACUUCGCUACUUUUCUCUGGAUUUGGAUAUGCGGAGGAAAACAGCAACUUACAAAGGAAAUCCAAUAUCCGCAAACUAUUCUUUCAAGAGAGAACCUUUUGAUGAUCCUCGAGUUAUUGCUGAGAAGUCUGAUUGGAAGCUCAAAGUGAAUUCCCCUGUUGUUGAAGAUGCAAUUGACCAGUUCACUAGACACAUUGUCUCAGAGUGGGUAACAAAUCUCUGGUACUCUCGCAUAACUCCUGAUAAAAAAGGUCCAGAAGAGCUUGUGCAGAUCAUGAAUGGUGUUCUUGGGGAAAUUUCAUGUCGUAUGAGAAAUGUUAAUCUCAUAGAUCUUUUGACAAGGUUUUAUUUCCAGAGAUUUUACUGAUCAAAAUUUUAUUCACUGAGAUAUCUUCUGGAAGGUACUUAACGGAAGUACCUUGCUUGGUGUGGUGCAGGGAUAUUAUUAAUGUAGUAUGCAAUCAGUUGGAGCUUUUUCGCACAGCUAAGACAAAGAUUGAGAAACAACAAUCGAGAGUUUUAAGUAUUGAAGAGAGAGACGUCAAAUUAAAAUUUGUGCUGGCUGCAGAGAACAAAUUACACCCUGCUUUAUUUUCUGCUGAAGCUGAGCACAAGGUUAUUUCUUCUCUUUUCUUUUUUUUCUUUGUCCUCUUCUUGCACUCCAUAAUUUAUAGCUUCUUAAUGACACAAGGUUACUGUGGUUAACAAUUUUUUGUUCUGAAUGCUUGUUAGGUUCUCCAACAUGUUAUGGAUGGUCUUAUUAUGUUUACAUUCAAGCCAGAGGAUCUGCAGUGCUCCUUAUUUCGUUAUAUUGUUCGAGAACUACUUGCCUGUACCGUAAUGAGACCAGUGAUAAAUUUAGCUAGCCCAAGGUAAGGAUACAUCUCAUUCUGCCUUCUAGAACUGCCAUGUUUUUGUUCUUUAUACAUUACCAAAUUUGGUGUCAGGUUUAUUAAUGAGAGGAUUGAAUCUCUAGUUCUUUCAAGAAGCAAAACUGUUAAAGGAAGUAAGGCGAUGCACGUGACAUCGCUAUCAAAGCCAAAUGAAUCGUCAAAGAUAUCAUCUGAUUUUUCUCAAUUUGGAGAUCCUUCCAUCAAGGGUCUUGAACUUGUAGAUUUGAAGAAGGACCAGUCUAAAAGUGAUGUUGAGAUUCCUGCUUCUGAUAAUAUGAACAGAAAACUUCUUUUCAAAGAUCCAUUACUUUCCCUUGAUACACGAUCCACUCAUUCUUGGAGUUCUUUACCUGAAACAAACAGUGGUGAGGGAAGAGGGUUGCAACAACACCACUCUGGUGGAGAAUGGGGAGACAUGCUAGAUGUGGUUUCCCGCAAAAAAAUUGAGGCCUUGGCUCCAGAAAAUUUUGAUAAUAUGUGGACAAAAGGAAGAAAUUAUAAAAGGGAGGAAGGUGCAGAUCGGCUGGCUGAUCCUAAGAAACACAGCUCUUCAGUGGGGGUAUCUAAUUCAAUGGAGCAGUCAAAAGUGCUCAGUGGACAGAAGAAAAAGGAAUUAGAAACUAAGGAUAUGUUUCUUGAGAGAGAUAUUUCUAAUUCUAUUUCUAGUCGAAAUAAACUCCCUGGGGCAGAGAAUAUGAUCAUGCCUGAUAAUUUGAAAAACCAAAGUGGCACAGCUAGUUCUUUAUAUGAAGAGAAAAAUGAACAUAAUGUUGUGAAUUCGGAAGAAUCAGGUAACAGUAGUUAUACUGAGGAUGAAGACACCAGCUGUGUUACAGGUCUUGAUUCUCCUGGGGUUAGAGUUUGGGAUGGUAAAAGUAAAAGAAACUCCAGUCACAUUCAUCAUCCUCUUGAGACACUGGAUGGCCAUAAUAGUAAAAAGAUGAGCACAGGCCGCCUCCACUCUCAAAGAAUGCAAAAAGCAAAAUCUGCCAAAAAAAGAUCUAGGUGUAGCAGUGAUAAUGGGCAUGCCUGGCAAGAGGUUGAGAGAACAAGUUUCUUAUUGGGAGACGGGCAGGAUUUACUGAAUUCCUCCAAAGGAAACAUUAAAUUUGAAGACUCCAGUGAUGACUCUGAGGCAGAACUGUUAGGUAGAAUACACAGUGGAGCAACAACUUCUUCAUCUGUGUCCUUGACUUCUUUACCCGAAAGUCAUAUUAUGGCAGCUAACUCCGCAAAAAAUUCAAUUAUUGCUGAUUCCUUUUUCAAGUUAAGAUGCGAGGUGCUCAACUCACCCGUUUAAUCUUCUUCCUGAAUGUAGUUUAAUGCUUUUAGAUGAGAAGAAAGUGAUUUCGCUUCUUGUUGCAGGUAUUGGGCGCCAAUAUUGUGAAGAGUGGGUCCAAAACAUUCGCGGUUUAUUCCAUAUCUGUUACAGAUGUAAAUAAUAAUAGUUGGUCUAUCAAAAGAAGGUGCCAACUUGUGCUGCAGACUUUCUGGUUAUAUAUUUCACGUGCUAUAAUGCCCCUUUAUAUGCUGUUUCGUUGUAGUUUUUUAUUAACUCGUAUCUAUGGUGAGAUGAUGUAAUAUGACAGUGAAUGUUGCUAACCAAUUAGGUUGUUCACGAUGACAGAUUUAGUCAUUUUGAGGAAUUACAUCACCGCCUUAAAGAGUUCUCUGAAUAUAAUCUCCACUUGCCACCAAAGCAUUUUCUAUCAGCUGGUCUAGAUGUUUCCAUCAUUCAACAACGUUGUAAAUUGCUUGACGAGUAUCUGAAGGUCAUACAUCUAACACCACUGGACAGUUUGACUUUUAUAGUUUGAUUUAGUUUGUCAUUUUGUUUGGCUCUUGCUAUAGCAUAAAAUCAAAUAUCCAUUUUGCUUUGAAGUUCGCUUGGGAAGUAUUUCUACAAUUUCCCCCCUUAUCAUGAUGUCCUUUGGCCUUUGCUUUAUUCUAGAGCAUGCUCUGUUAUGAGCAAUGGUCCCUUAACAUGUUACUGUUGCUUCUUUAUAUUAGCUUUUCUGAUCCUUAAUGUUUCCAGUUUUUGUGGACUAAUUGUUUAAAAAUAAUGAUGUUAUAUAAGGGUUCUGUUGCCCGCUUACCUGCUGGAAAAAUAAUCCACUUUCUAUGAAUUGAACCAUCUUAUUUUACACUCCAUGACACAAAUACAUGCAUAGGGCUAUAUUGAAGUCUGCAGUUGUUAUGCAGAAGCUUCUGCAGCUGCCGACUGUUUCCUGCUCUAUUGAAGUCUGGGAUUUUCUAAGUGUUGAUUCUCAGGUUCGACUUAUUUUGUUCUCCUUUUUGCCGUCCUUGAAGUUUGAUAUUCAUAUCUGUUUUAUCUUGAACUUACAGUUAUGAUUUUCGAAAUAAUGCAGAUGUAUAUUUUCUCAAAUUCAUUAUCCAUUCUUGAGACUCUUUCAGGUGAAAUUUGUAUCUUAGCAGUGGAUUUUCGUCUAUACAAUAGUUUUAUGUUUCUUACAGUUUCAAACUGGUUUUUGGAUUUCAGUUGACCUGGAAGACACAGGUCAUGAAACCUAUAAAGAAUAUAUGGACAACGUAGGGCCAGUAGAUGAUCCAUUAUCCUCUGAAAGAGAAAAUUUGAGUAAUAAAAAUAAAGAGUCUGCAUUACUAAUCAAGGGUGGUCAUGCUGUUGAUGGGGCAAAAUUCAAAACAAAAGGUUCAGCUGUUUCUCCACCAAAAAAGCCUGGAAAGGCAUUUGAAAAGGCUUUUGAGGAUUCCAGUAGUGACUCUGACAAUCUGGAGCAAAAGAACCCACUUUUGACUGGAAAAUUGGAAAGAAGUGUAGAAAGUGAUAAGGUAGCUUUAUGUGAAUCUGGGUCUAUGGAUGCUGAUCUAGCCCUUCCUAGUGAUGUAAGUCACAGUCACUAUUUACUUGGCGUAUUUUCUUUGUUGUGUUCAACAAUGGAACAGAAUCCAGUUAUAGAUAAUGCUUGAUGAAUUUUUUAUUCAGAUAUGGACACAUCGUUUCCUACUUCCAUGUUCUUGUGGUCUGUCUGUAAUUUUGCAUGUUUAUGAUCUAUAACGGUUGUCUAAUUUUAUUUCUUCAUGCAGUGGGUGCCACCAAACCUAAGUGUUCCCAUAUUGGAUUUAGUUGAUGUCAUUUUUCAGCUUAAAGAUGGUGGAUGGAUCAGGUAUUAUUCAUGAACAACCGUACUAAUCUGAAGGAGGUUGAUUGUAUAUUAAUAUUCUAAUCUAAUUACCUCUGGCUAUCUCGGCUCGUAUAAACUUUGAGUGAAUUCAGGAGAAAGGCUUUCUGGGUGGCUAAACAAGUUUUACAAUUGGGAAUGGGAGAUGCCUUUGAUGAUUGGUUGAUUGGGAAAAUCCAGCUUCUGCGCCGGGGAUCAGUUGUUGCUGCUGGGAUCAGACGGUUGGAGCAGGUAUCCUCAUUGAUGGCCUGGUAGUUGAGAUACACACUUUUUCACGUAUCUUGUUGACUGCCUUUUCACUCAACUUUCUGAUUAUCUCACAAGUAUUAUUUUAAGAGUUUAUAAUGUUAAUUGAAUUACUAAUUCUAGAGCUAUGGAACUAGGAGUGAAUUGUCAAAACUUGACUAUUUAGAAAGGAUAACAAAAUUCGAAUGUUCUAUAGAAAAUUUAUUAUUGAUUUCUGAUAUUGGUAAUCCAAUGACUGGAUGGUACACUUAGAUACUUUGGCCCAAUGGAAUAUUCAUAACUAAGCACCCAAAGCGUCAGCGACCUGCACCUUCUGCAAGCCCAACCCAUGGAUCUUCUCAGGACCAACCUUCUCUAUUUUCUUCACCAAAAAAUGAUGAAUUGCAGAAGAUGCAACAGAAGGAAGCUGAACAGAGAGCAAAAUUUGUAUAUGAACUAAUGCUUGGUAAUAGUUAUUUGUUUGCCUAACGAGGCUUUAUCUUAUUGCUGUACUUUAGAAGUGGGAAGGAAAAUCUCUAAGAUUUUAAUCACUUUUAUGAGAAUCUUUUGCAGAAAAGGCACCGUCUCCUAUUGUAGGCCUUGUUGGACGCGAGGAAUAUGAACAGUGUGCCAAGGACCUCUACUAUUUCAUUCAGGUGAUUCUCAUUUACGUUCAAUUAUCCUCGGAGCAAAAAUACAGCACACAAACACAUUGAUUGUGUCACGGCUCUAUAAUUCCAACUAGAUUUAUUGUUAGACGAGCUGCAUCUGAUCAUUCAAGACUUUGUUGUCCAAUUUUCAUUGAUACAAUAGCCAAUGAUGACCUCAUAGAUUAAGCACGGUGUUAUUAUUUCAGAAAUAAAAAUUUCAGAUAAAAUUGUGAGUUUAGCCUCUCUUUUGUCUUCUACUUGAAUGAAUCACUGGUGGAACCAGUUAGAAUAGGAGAUUGUAGAAAUAUUUUCUCUCUUGCUUAUAAUAGUCUAGCUAGGAAUUACAUUUUUUCCUUUUAGUAAUAGGAUUUUUCCUUCUCCUACUCCUAUAGAUAGGAUUAUACUUGUAUAUACAGGAUUAGUUAUGGAACAAAUAGAUUCAGCCUAAAUUCCGUUCUUUCAUUGUAGUGAGAGAUUUGGCUGUUGGGGAUAGUGCUCUUUUAUAAGUCAAUAAAAUAAGAAUGGCAGGGGGGUUAUAAUAGAAAAUCUCGUUGUUCAAAAUAAUGGAUAUUUCUAAUUAUGCAAGUCGAAUAUUGAAGACAGAAUUUUGGAAAAGGAUGCAAAGUUGGACAAAAUGGAUUGUUGCAUUACAAAAUGUCAGUUCAGUAAAGAGCAUCAGAAAGAUACCUAUCAAGUGAAUAAGGAAUAUUACAGAACAACUCUUAAAUUAUCACAUUAAGUGAAGGAUCGCCUGAGGACAAAUGACGUAUGAUGAACACAGGGAGCAAGAAUUUUAAGAUAGAUAAAUAGUUAUACUAUAAUGGAGUGAAAUUAAAAAUAAGGAUACAUAACGCCAAAUGUAAUAGGAGAAUUGUAGGAGAAGGGAAAAGGGAAGAGAAGAGAAAGGAGGGGGAAAGGAGAUAAGAAGGGGGAGAGGAAGAGGGAAAUAAGGGAGAAAAUAUCAAAUUUUCUUCAUUCGAAAGUUGCCCAAUUACAUCUCAUAAGACCCCUUUUUUUAGGGUUUCAAAAGACCCUAUUCUAAGCAAGGAAAUAACAUAAAAUUAACCAUAAUUAUGUUUCCUAAAAUAAACUUUAAAAUCGGAAACUAAAUAUACUAAUAUCAAUUAUAAUAUUCCAUCAAUACAUGCUAGAAGUUGAGAUGAAAUUGAUCUCGGAUAAAUUAUUAACUCCUACAGAAAAAGUUAGCAGAGGGAGAGAUACAAAAACCAACAUGGCAUAAUAGGCAAAAAAUUGAUUUCAUCAAAUCUUUCAGUAAAAUGUAUUGCUUAGUGGAAUGCAGUUAUGCAAAUAUAUUCAGGGAAUCAUCGUCAAGUUUAUUGCAAAUGAGGGUUCACGGGGUAGGGAGAUUGUGAUCAUUCUUAGCAUUGAUUUAUUGUGUAUAUUUGCGGUAACUAAUGGAUGAACUUUUCACUUUUCUUGUACAGUCGUCUGUUUGUAUGAAGCAACUAGCUUUUAAUCUUCUUGAGAUGCUGCUCUUGUUACUGUUCCCAGAGCUUGAUUAUGUCUUCAGAGAGUUGGAGGAAGAGAAAGAAAAGUUCGGAAAACUCUAGCCAAGUCGGAUUUUGGCAUUCUUUGUGAAGUGUAUAUGGAUGUAAAGUUAUGAAGCUAAUUUCAUAGGUCGGAAAAUAGCCUCGAGUUAUUUUCACUUUUCGAUCGAUAUCUCGAAGAAAUUUCAUGUUAAUGUCUAAAGUUGUUAAACUGACAAUUCUUCGUUGGGUUGGGAAGCAGAUUUGGGCCCGUUUGGUACCUAUUUUUUUUUUAAAAUGAAUUUUUUCUCUCUUCUUUUCAACUACAUAUUUUUUAUUAAAAUAAUAUUACAUGUAAAUCAAAAAAUUUUCCUUAUUUUUGAACCACACAUUUUCC
rnacentral:lncRNA from 1 species